AACUCCUGGGUAUGGGUGGGAGACGCCACUUCCGGGUGACGCCUCUUGGCCCCGCCCCCCACUGGGAGAAACUGACAGCUGCCCAUUGGCAACAAGGGAGAAGUUCCCGUUUUCUUUAUUGAGGACGACUCCGCCCUUGACCCGCCCUUCUUAAAGCUAUUCAAGAAACUGGUGCCUGCUCCUGAUUGGCUCAAGAGCUGUCUGACUAGGAUCCACAUUUUGGUUGACUCUGGACUCCAUCGGAUGUCUUUGCUGAUUGGUUCUUCAUAUGAAUAUCUGUAUGGCAUAAAAACGUCUGGAUGAAAGUGUUAAAGCCUGUCAAAUGCAAUCUUUGCUAUCCAGUGUUACGAGGACUUCAAACUGGAUGCAGAUAAGCUAUCAUAACAGCAAAAAACAUUUGAUUUUUUCCCCACAUUUCUGAUCAAGUCAUGUAUAAGAAGCAGUCGUGAGUAUGUCAAGGAAUUCACCCUUCACAUCUAUAUCUAUAUCUAUAUAUGUAAUAAAAGUCAGUGUUUGUAUGUAUGUAUGUUUGUAUGUAUGUAUGUUUGUUUGUAUGUAUGUGUGCGAGUAUGUGGCAGCUUUCUGAUUGGCCGCCACUUACACAGACAACUAUGACUGCCACGAAUGACAGAUCUGGACCAAACUUGACACACUUAAUCUGCAUGACACACUUUACACCCUGGUGCCGUUUGCGGGACAAUGGGCCAUGGGUGAUGGGUUGCUACGGCUCCCACAGGCCACUGCAACGCCCACCAGUGACGGAACUGGACCUAACUUGGCACACAGAACCCCCAUUAACCCCUUUCUCUCCUGAAGCAGAUUGGGGGAGGAUGGACCAAGUAGUUUCACUCACUUCUUGCUCUGGGAGUUGUAGUUCACCCUUAUACAGACAGCACUGAACCCAGCCGACUUCGAAUCUGGACCAAACUUGGCACACAAGUUUCUCAAAUGACCUGGGCACUGCUGGGUCCCCAAGCUAGUUUAGAAUAAUUUCCACUAUGAGAUGAUUGCCAGGUCAGAUAAUUCACCUCAUAACAGGUUUGUUUUUUAAAAAACAAACAAACAAACAAACCAGAAUUAAUACUGGCCUUGUUGAAAAAUCUACUAUAAUUUGGAGUAGCAUCACAAUGGGAAAAUUUUGGUGUUCAGCAAAGAAACCCUCCAACCCACAUAUGAUUACUAGGGGAUAUGGUAGAUAUAACUUUAAAACACAAUUUUUGUCAUAUCAAUUUUUGUUGUGCCAUCAAGAUUCCGUAAGAGCUGGAGCUUUUUUAUAAGACUGGGGAGCUGUUUCAACCCCAACAGCCAGACAGAUGUUUAAUUUUUGCUCAUGCAUCACCCUUGUUUCUCCCACUUUGAACUGAUCUCACACCUUCCAAAUUCACUCAAUAUUGUAGGCUGUUUCCUCUGGUGAACUACAUUUCAUAUCCUAGCUACCAGUUACUAUCUUAGGACCACCCACUGGCUUCAUAUGGGGCAGGAGAGCAGCCAUCCGCUGGAUUUUGAGAGCGAAGUGAACCUGCAUGCUUCAAUAAUAUUAACAUGCCCCACUUCUGACUCUGUCAUAAAUUUGCUGCAGGAUAUAAAAUCAGUGUCUGACAUUCUAAAAGGAUCUGGCAUUUCUAACUGGUUCAUUGGGCUCAGCACCUGAGGCUCAGAAAAAGCAAGAGUUUCAGUGCCUGCAUCCCCAGCGCUUUUGAUGACUGCAUUUAUUAACCUGAAUUGUGUUGAUGAGGCAAAAGAUGCUUUAGGAGAGAAGAGAGAAGCAGAGGUGUGAAGAAAGGCAGCUGAGUUCCCUUGAGCCUGUAACUAACACACUCAGCCUGGACUUUUGGUGAUUGCAGGGGCAAGGCGACCGAAAGUAAUAACAGUAAUAAUAAUCAUCAUCAUGUGGCAAAAGAGUAAUUAUGGGCUACGUCUUAUGCACAGAAGGGACAAAACAUCACUUAUGGAUGUGGUAUGAUCAUGCUUCUAACCAUAUGGCCACACACAGAAGGAUGGCACAAUUUCUGGAGCCCUCCCUUGGAUAAUAGUUUGAGAUAGUGUGUCUCUUUUGUAUAAUCACAGCAGCAGGGUUUCUGACCUUCUUACUUACUUACUUUACUUACUUACUUAGGCAAUCCCUCGUAGUUCGAGGAUGAUGGUCCUCCAUUUCUUAGAAGAUGCCUGUGCAUGAUUUUUUUUUUUAAUGUGUGGAGGUCGGUGCACGGCCGGUCAAUACACAGUCUUCACAGAUUGAGGUCCCAGCAGUGGUGUGAUUAACACAACAAGAGUGGCUUCUCAGUCUGUUGCAGCCUUCUUCCGCCUUCACAGCCAUUGUAACAUGUACCAUGUUAUCCUCUGCCUGCUCCGCCAUUGAGGUCUUUGGGUCUUCGGAUUGUUCUUGGGUCUGGAUCCUCUCCUGUGGCCACUCCUGGGAGUGUGUGACUCCUGUGGUUGUGCCCACAGGUUCAAGUGCUAAGGGAUACAAGGCCAAAGCAGACCAAAAAUCAAGACAGGGGCAUGGUACAGAACAAGAGACAUCCGAAUGUUCCCCCUGUGCUGCAAGAUUUGUGCAGAGGUGGUACAUCAGCAGCGAUAAACAGCCCUUCCCAUUUGAUUGCAGUCUGAGUGUGCAUUCUUGUAUCAAGUGUUUUGAGCAUGGCUUUGCAACAGCUGCUCCAACAACAAAAAAAUAUAUAGUCAGUCCAGGGUUGGGGGGGUACGGAGUACAGUUAAGCAGCAAUGUGGGAAGAGCUGCAAGGGCUAUGAAUCCAGCUACAUCUCAGGCAAAACUCCUUAACUUGGGCAUCAGCUGUGUGGUACAUUUUAUUCCCCUUAAGAAGAGGGAGCACCAUGAUUGAUGCUGUUUGUACCAGCUGGUCCCAGCUACUGCUCACUCUCUCCUCCUUCUCUGCCUUGCUGAUCUGGGAGGGACAUCAGAGGAGCAUGGCAUGGCAGCACUGCAUAGACGGGCUGGGCCAGUUCCCAAGGGUGGUCCAUUUUCUGCAGCUCUUUCUGACAUUCACAUGUGGGUGGUAAUUUGCAGCUGUGUCACACAGACUCAGGCCGCAUCGACUCUGCCAUAUAAUGCAGUUUGAAACUGGUCAAUGUAUAAUAUAAUGGAGUUCAAUGCAAUUAAACUGCACUAUAUGAGUCUAUACUGAUCAUUCAUAGUGGAUGAUCCAAGGGGAUGGUAGUCACCUGGAGUGCAAUUUUUAUUUUAAUAUCACCCUUCAUUAUCUUAAUUUUUUGUUUGUAAUGUGAAUGUUACUAUGGCUUAUUUUAAUAAAAAAUACAAUUUAAUGCUUCAAGAUGUCUUAUUUACAACACCUUUCUUUACCAUGGGUAGUAUGUAGGCAAAAAUAUAAAUAAAAGAAUGGACAGUUGUCACUGCAUCUUUCUGUUUGUUUGCUUAAAGAAGGUAGAUUUGCAAAGGGGCUCUAAAUAUUUUUUUUUCCUGAAAGGAGGGUGGAAGGCAAAUAAGUUUAGAAAGCUCCUCAUUAAAUGUGGUUAAGGAAAGAGCAUUGUCUCUUCAUUUCAUCUUGAUCUAGAAACAGCCAGUUUAGCAUAUUAAGAUGUGUCUUAAUUUGUGAUCAGGAAAGUAUUUUCUGUAUAUAUGUGUGUGUGUGUUUGAAUGGUACGAGGAACAGCAGCUGGUACUUAAUGGAUAAUGAUAUUGUUACCCCAAUCUCUUAAAAGGUGUAGCUUUAGAGACACGGCCAGCAAACUAACCAGUAGACAUGUGCAAAAAAAAUUGGAAAAGUCGUUUAUCGUAAUAAAUUAGUUUAUUGUAUGACUAUUGAACUGAGUUCCGAGGUGGUUUGGCGCUUCUGAAUUAACCUUCCAAUUCGAAGCGUUGGUGCCCAUUCUCGAAAUACCUUCAGAUAACCUUUGGAUAUAUGAGAAAGUGUUUUAAUUCAACCAACUGUUGCUAUUCAGGAGAGAAAUCCCCUUCCCCUGGAGUGGUUGGUUUCUAUGGGGCUCUUAAACCGGCUUGUAGAAGCGACUUGUAGAAGUGGAGGGAAGCCUGGAUUUGCUGGCUUGCAGAAGAGGGAGCCUGGAUGUGCCUUGCAAACCACAUCCUCUUCCCGCGCUUAAACCGGUUUACAGAAAUGGAGGGAAGCCUGGAUUUGCCGGCGUGCAGAAGAGCGAGCCUGGAUCUGCCUUGCAAACCAAUUCCUCUUCCCGCGCUUAAAGCUUAAACCAGUUUACAGAAGUGGAGGGAAGCCUGGAUUUGCAAUGCCCUCACCAGGAUCUCCCUUGCAAUGUGCUGGCAAAACCCCAAACUAGAAUUCUCCACCCAGGUUGGUGUGUGACUGACUUUCCACUUCAGGGGGAGAAGAAAACUGGAAAUGGGCAGGGAAAGUAAACUAUCACCCUGCUAAGGAUUUUCCACAACUCCUCCCUAUUAUUUUAAAUUACCCUGAUAUUAUUAUUAUUAUUAUUAUUAUUAUUAUUAUUAUUAUUAUUAUUAUUAUUAUUUGAAACACAACAAGAUGAGUCCACAGCAGACACUCUGCUGGCUGUUGUAUUGGAUCACAUGUCGGACACUUCCCAAGUGUCUAGGACUGUGUGAUGUAUCGGUGAAUAAUGUGUGCAGAUCCCAAUAAGGUGGCCUUCUGCAGCUGGCAGGUGGUAAUUUUGUCAGCACCAAUUGUGUUUAAGUGCAAGCCAAAGUCUUUAGGCACUGCACCCAGUGUACCAAUCACCACUGGGACCACCUUGAUUGGCUUGUGCCAGAGUCUUUGCAAUUCGAUCUUUAAGUCCUCAUAUCGUGUUAGCUUUUCCAGUUGUUUUUCUUCAAUCUUGCUGUCCCCUGGGAUUGCAACAUCGACAAUCCAUGCUUUGUAAGGUCAAUAGUAUUGUGCUCCAAAACUCUGUCUGUCUGAAUUCGGAAGUCCCAGAGUAGCUUGACAUGUUCAUUCUGUGUAACUUUUUCCAGCUUGUGAUCCCACCAGUUGUUUGUCGCAGGCAUUUGGUAUUUGUGGCACAAGUUCCAAUGAAUCAUCUGAGCAAUGGUGUUAUGCCUCUGCUUGUAGUCUGUCUGUGCGAUCUUCUUGCAGCAGCUGAGGAUGUGAUCUAUUGUUUCAUCUGCUUCCUUGCAGAGUCUACAUUUGGGAUCUGUCGUCAACUUUUCAAUUUUGGCUUUGAUGGCGUUGGUUCUAAUGGCUUGUUCUUGGGCUGCCAGAAUCAGGCCCUCCGUCUCCUUUUUCAAAGUUCCAUUUGUGAGCCACAGCCAUGUAUUUUCUUUGUCAAUUUGGCUCUCGAUUUUUCCCAGGAACUGUCCAUGGAGAGCCUUCUUUUGCUAGUUUUCUCUUCUGCUCUGGAUUGUGUUCUUGCGGUAUUCACUCUUGGUCUUUUGCACUUGAAGCAGUUUACUACUGUUGACUUCCCUCAAUGCUGGUUCUUGACUGCCUUUCACAUAAUCUGCCAGGGCAUGUUUCUCUUCCUCCACCAUUUGUUUCACUUGCAGAAGCCCUCUGCCUUCUGAUUUUCUGGGCAGGAAAAGUCUGUCGACAUCACUACGCAGGUGUAAUGAGUAGUGGAUUGUCAUCAGUUUUGUUUUUCUGUCCAGCUAAUCUAGCUCUGCUUGUGUCUAGUUCACAAAUCCAGCAGUGUAUCUAAUGACAGAGAUGGCCCAGGUGUUGAUAGCCUUGAUUGUAUUUCCGCCAUUUAAUUUGCUCUUCAAAAUCUUUCUGACUCUUUGGAUAUAUUCGUUGCUGACCACAUUUUUCACAUGCCCAUGAUUGAUAUUGUCCAACUGUAGUAUGCCCAGAUAUUUAUAGGCUUCAGGCUCAUUGCAUUUUGUGGUUUGUCCAUUUGGCAUCUCUAUGCCCUCGCUGUGAGUAAUUUUUCCUUUCUUUAAUGCCACUGUGGCACAUUUGUCUAGGCCGAACUCCAUACUGAUGUCAGUGCUGAAGAUUCAGACUGUGUUGGUCAGUGAUUGGAUUUCUGUUUCUGAUUUUCUGUAAAGCUUUAGAUCAUCCAUGUACAGCAAGUGGGCAAUUUUUGGUGAAUUUCUUGCUGUUUGGUAGCCCAGGUUUGUUUUCUGUAGAAUUACUGACAGAGGGACCAUUGCAAUGAUGAACAGCAGUGGUGAUAGUGAGUCACCCUGGAAAAUUCCUCUCUUGAUAUUAAUAGUUCCAUGGCUUUCAUUGCCCACGAACAACUCAGUUUUCAAUUGUUUCAUUGCAUUUUUGGUGAACUUUCUAAUUUUUUUCACAAACACCGAUGACAUCUAGACAUUUGCUAAUCCAGCAAUGUAGCAGUGAGUCAAAUGCUUUUUUGCAAUCAAUCCAAGUUGUAUAGAGAUUUGUCUUGCAGCUUUUGCAAUUCUCCAGUAUCAUUUUGCCAACCAAAAGCUGAUCUUUCGUGCCCCUACUUCUUCUUUUAUUACCUUUUUGUUCUACUGGCAAGAUGUUAUUUUCCUCCAAGUAAUCUUGGAUUUGAUCAGCUAUUAUGCCUGUCAGCACUUUGAACAUUGUAGGCAGACAUGUUAUUGGCCUAUAGUUUCCUGGUAUUGUCCUUUUUGCUGGAUCUUUCUGUAUCAAAUAUGUCUUCCCAGUUGUUAUCCAUUUGCUGAUGUUUCUAGUUUACAGCAUCUCAUUGAAUUGUUCGGCCAUUUUCGAGUACAGGCUACUCAGAUAUUUAAGCCAAAAUCCAUGUAGUUGAUCAUUGCCAGGUGAUGUCCAGUUCUUGACUUUCUUCACUCUUUCAGUGAUCAUUUCUGUUGUUAUUUCCAAGGUUCUCAUUUUGUUCUUUGAAAAAAAUAUUUUCAAAGUCUUUUAUCCACUCAGCUUUUUUGUUGUAACCUUUUUCUGUUUCCCACAGAUCUUUCCAGAAUGCAUUUGUAGCUGGUUUUUCUGGUUUUUCAUUUUUCACAGCCAUCUGCUGAUUCAGACUCUGGUAGAACCGUCUUUGAUCAGAUUGGAAGAGUUGAUUUUGUUUGUAUUGGAUUACUCUAGCUUCAUAUCGCUCAAUUUUUCUGGCUGUUGCCGUGAUUUGUUGUUUCACAAUUUCAAGAGUUUCUUCAAUUUUUCUUGUGUUCAGCCAAUAUUUUUUAAUCAGGUAAUUCUUUAUUUUGACAUUCUUCAGUUUUUGCUCCUUCAUGUUUUUUAGAUUGCUUGCAUCUGAAUGUAACUCCAGCCUUAUUUUCCAUUUUGGUUUUCCAAUCAUUUUUCUUGCGGGUUUCAGUUGUUGUAUCCCCAGUUCUUGUGUUACAAUCACUGCUGUGCUGUAUGCAAGCUGAUUGGUUUCUUCCAUUGUUGUUAUCUCAACAGUUGCGAGUGUAGCAUUCACAUCAUUCAUUAGAAGUGCCAGAUGUUUUCUUGGUACUGUCUUCAAUAUUGGCAGUCUUUGCCUUCCUUCCUUUCCUGCCUGCCAUUAACGAAUUAAUUUUGAAUAUUCUGAAUAUUCGUUAAGUUUUUAAAAAAUUGGGUCAAAAUUCGGAAGUAGUUCCAGAAACAAAGCGCCAGCGCGCCCUACUUUAAAAGCGGGUAUUGAACAAUUUUUUUUCAUGGAUCACACAUUCCUACUAACCAGGUGUUUCUUACUCUCAGAAAGAAAGCUUUCUUAAAAAAAAAAACCUAAAACACAGUAGAAAAAUACAAAGAACUGGAACUCCCAGUGAUGCCUCCAAAAUGGAAAGACCCCAAGCAGUGACAGUAUAUUUGCUUCUAUAGUUUCACAGAGCUGUGCCACCUUUUUGGGGCAUCACUCAAUCAUUUUGUCAGGUUCAGUUGGUUAAAAGACAAUCAGGCAAUUUCACAUCAUGUUUCAUAUCCUCUGCCCUGCACCCUCAUUUUGUCUAAUUCUUAUCAGUAGGAACUCUUCAUCCCAAGCCCACCAAGUACAAGGCUAGUGCUGACGCCAACAAGGCAGGGGAGGGUCUGUUAUGGAUAACUUUUCAAUAUCUUAAAGCAUAGGUUCUUUUUAUUGCAAUUUCAGUCUGAGAGGUAUGGCAGAACUUUUACAGAACAACAUUUAGACACACAGACAUAUAGAUUCUAUGCAACUGCAUUGGAGUUACAAACAACCUACUACAUUGGCUAAGAAACAAAGGGGGGGGGGUUACAAUUUCACUCAGCAUUCACACACAUCUAUAUGCAUCCAUCCUCAUGCAUACAAAGAUUACCAUAUCUUUUCUCCCUCCUUGGAGAAGCACCUGCUUAGGCCAGACCCAGCUUCCACUGCUGCCUGCCAACACAUAUUUCCAAAACUUCAAAAAUCCAAAAAGAACAUCUCCAAAACACACUCCUUUCUCUUCCCAUGAGAAAAGGGGGACCAAAAGUGACCAGAAUCCUGUUUUCCCAUAGCAGAUCUGACACAUACACUCUCUCUCUCCUUCCCAGUGGAGCAGAGAAUAGUGGGUGAACACCAUCUCUGUGUGUCACACUUUCUGGACUGUCAUAAGGUAACUUAUAUAGCAAUAUUUUGCUGAUGUUGUCCCAAAGUUGUAAAUGAAUGAUAGACGUCUUCCAUCCUAAGACAGCUCCACUGGCUGCCGAUAUGCUGCCGAACCCAAUUUAAAGUGCUGGUUUUGACCUACAAAGCCCUAAACGGUUCUGGUCCAAUUUACCUGUCUGAACGCAUCUCCUCCUAUCAGCCCACGAGAACCUUAAGAUCAUCUGGGGAGGCCCUGCUCUCGAUCCCACCUGCCUCACAAGCGCUGUGGAACUCCCUCCCCAGUGACAUCUGGCAGGUGCCAUUCCUUCUGGGGUUUAGAAAGAAGUUGAAGACCUGGCUAUCUGCGCAAGCGUUUAAUGAAUGAACUCAGCGUUGUCAUGGAUUGGCAGAGCAUCGGAUAAUACUGAGUGUCAGAAAAGCGGAAGUCGGAUAAGCAGAAUUCUACUGUAGCAGCUCGCAAUUUUCCUGCCACAAGAGAGACUCCAUCCACCUCUGACAUCACAGGGAGUCCCCAGCCAAUGACAGCUCAGAACCUAGCUCGACCAUUCUUGAACCAAUCAGAGGAGGAAGUGGGUCUUCUGAAUGACUGGCAAAGGAGAUAAAAUGCUUUGCACUGUAUUAUAUGUUAUGUCAGUUAUUUUGGUGAUUACGCUGUUCUAGUAAUCCCAAACUUGGCCACAUUUUUCUGGCUUUCAAAAUAGCAUGGUAUGCUGGGCAACAAACCUACACUGCUCCCUUGUAGCAGACAGCUGAGUUCAGUAACAAGAUGACAGAGGAUUAAUUGGGACUGCCAACCACACAACCCUCCCUCUUUUCUGGUCAGGUUUUCUACAAAGAAGGAGGCAUGAAUGUAUUCUUGUGUGCUAUUCUUCAUUCUGUUGACUCCCAGGAAGCGCCCCAGGCCUACUAAUCGCAGUAGCUCCAAGGUGUGAAUCUAAAUACCAUGAUACAGUUUGCCAACCUAGAUUUGAGCCUAUAACUUUCUAGAGUCUCCAACAUUAACAACUAAAUAUAAAGGCAUCUUGUUCUGGAUAGAAAACAAGCUAAUGCAUGCCAGAAGGAAUAUUCCUGGUAUAUAUGAAAAGAUGUCAUUGUAAAUCAGUUUCGCUUUUCAAAAUAUUUACAAGUUGGCAUAGACCAUAGAAGACAGAUGCAUAGGUCUAAAAAAAGAGGAGCUAAAUCCCAAAUAUGGUACACUGAGCAAAUGUGACCAGGGAUUUUGGCCAUUUCAGAUCAGGGCAGAUGGAAAGUUAACAGAAAACGGUUAGUCCAGAAGUACGACGGCCAUUGAACUAUGAGGAAUGAGUGAAAAUAUGUUUUUGGCUUUCUAAAUAAGGCUUGGACCUGGGCAAGGCCAGCUGAUGGGCUAAGUGAAGGACAGCACUGGGUGCCAAGCAGGUGUUGGUUAUGGAGAUUGGCAGGGAGCUGCUGCUGGAGCCCAGAACCACCUGAGCUUUUAACAAGACAGGACCCCAGCCAGAAGGAAGGGCUACAAAGAAAUGUCUGGAUAAGAGAAGGGAAAGGGUGGAAGGAAUUUCUUGGGAGCCAAAGGGAACCUGGAAUGACAUGGAAUGACAUGGAAUGAAAAUCCUCAGCUCUAGGGCAUGUAGAGUUAUUGGGCUACCAUUUAUGGAAGUAAAAGACGACCCAAUCAGAUCAUAUAUACUGAGUGUAUAUCAUAUCAUGUAUACUGAGUGACAACACUGAAUGCGAACCAUAAAAUAGCACUACACUGAACAUAAUAGCACCAAUUUCCAUUUCUUGAGGCACCCCAGUAUCACGCAAGCUAGAGCAAUGGCUGACAAAAGCCUAGUUGCCCACACUGUACAAACCCAGACAAUAGGGUUUACCUUUAACCUUUACCUACCACUGUAUACCCACCAACAUUUGUUGGGUUAUCUAAGCAAUCAUGCAAGCAUUUUCAAUGUGGGAUGGUUUAUGUAGUUAGUUAUGUCUGUUGCUUAGUAACCUGAGCCAAGCUGCAUUCCAGAGUUGAUGACACCAUUUAGGGGGUUUUGCAUAUGAAAUGGGAAAUGGGAGUAUCCUUUCUGAGGACACACAGGAAGUGAUGUACAGAUGCCUCUUCCUGUCUCUUCCUCUUCGCUCCUGACCAUGCCAUGCUGAUGUUCCUGUCUGUUAAGAGAUAUGUAGUUUCCUGAACUGUUUUUCUUUGGAACUAAGAUGUUUUUGCCUGUAUGACCAUCAUCAUACAAGAUUGUGAGUAAACAUAUUUUUGCUAUUUUA